CCAAUAGCGUAUAUUAAAGUUGCUGCAGUUAAAAAGCUCGUAGUUGAAUUUCGGGAUCAAUAUGUUGGUCGUGCCUUGGUACGUACUAGCUUAUUGAUUUCUUCCUUCUGACGAACCAUGAUGUCAUUAAUUUGGUGUCAUGGGGAAUCAGGACUGUUACUUUGAAAAAAUUAGAGUGUUUAAAGCAGGCUCACGCUUGAAUACAUUAGCAUGGAAUAAUGAAAUAGGACGUUUGAUUCUAUUUUGUUGGUUUCUAGGAUCGACGUAAUGAUUAAUAGGGAUAGUUGGGGGCAUUAGUAUUCAAUUGUCAGAGGUGAAAUUCUUGGAUUUAUUGAAGACUAACUACUGCGAAAGCAUUUGCCAAGGAUGUUUUCAUUAAUCAAGAACGAAAGUUAGGGGAUCGAAGACGAUCAGAUACCGUCGUAGUCUUAACCAUAAACUAUGCCGACUAGGGAUCGGAUGAUGUUAAUUUUUUAAUGACUCAUUCGGCGCCUUACG
rnacentral:rRNA from 1 species